rnacentral:rRNA from 1 species
AAUACCUCAUAAUGCAGCGGAUCCGCAUGGAUUAUGUUGUUAAAGGUUUACCGCUUGGGAUAGGCUUGCGUCUGAUUAGCUAGUUGGUGUGGUAACGGCACACCAAGGCUACGAUCAGUAACUGGUCUGAGAGGAUGAUCAGUCACACUGGAACUGAGACACGGUCCAGACUCCUACGGGAGGCAGCAGUGAGGAAUAUUGGGCAAUGCUUGAAAGAGUGACCCAGCAACGCCGCGUGGAGGAUGAAGGUAUUCUAUAUCGUAAACUCCUGUGAGAGCAGACGAAAGACAGAUUAUUAAUCUGGAUGACUGUAUGCUCAGAGGAAGCCCCGGCUAACUACGUG